rnacentral:rRNA from 1 species
AUACGAAGGGUGCAAGCGUUACUCGGAAUUACUGGGCGUAAAGCGUGCGUAGGUGGUUUGUUAAGUCUGAUGUGAAAGCCCUGGGCUCAACCUGGGAACUGCAUUGGAUACUGGCUGACUAGAGUGCGGUAGAGGGUAGCGGAAUUCCCGGUGUAGCAGUGAAAUGCGUAGAUAUCGGGAGGAACAUCCGUGGCGAAGGCGGCUACCUGGACCAGCACUGACACUGAGGCACGAAAGCGUGGGGAGCAAACAGGAUUAGAUACCCUGGUAGUCCACGCCCUAAACGAUGCGAACUGGAUGUUGGGGACACUUAGGUCUUCAGUAUCGAAGCUAACGCGUUAAGUUCGCCGCCUGGGAAGUACGGUCGCAAGACUGAA